rnacentral:rRNA from 1 species
AGAGUUUGAUCAUGGCUCAGAAUGAACGCUGGCGGCGUGCCUAACACAUGCAAGUCGAGCGAGAAAGCCUCUUCGGAGGUGAGUACAGCGGCGGAUGGGUGAGUAAUACGUAAGAACCUGCCCUUUAGUGAAGGAUACUCCCGAGAAAUUGGGGUUAAUACUGCAUACGUCCUACGGGAGAAAGGUGGCCUCUUGCUGCCGCUGAAUGAUUAGCUUGCGUACUAUCAGCUUGUUGGUGAGGUAAAGGCUCACCAAGGCUAUGACGGCUAGCCGGCCUGAGAGGGUGUACGGCCACAUUGGAACUGAGACACGGUCCAGACUCCUACGGGAGGCAGCAGUGGGGAAUAUUGCGCAAUGGGCGAAAGCCUGACGCAGCGACACCGCGUGGAGGAUGACGGCUUUCGGGUUGUAAACUCCUGUUAAGUGGGAAGAAAAGUUUGUCUUUAAUACAGACAAGUUAUGACGGUACCACUAGAGAAAGCACCGGCUAACUUCGUGCCAGCAGCCGCGGUAAUACGAGGGGUGCAAGCGUUAUUCGGAAUUACUGGGCGUAAAGGGUGUGUAGACGGCGUAUUAAGUCUGUUGUUAAAUUUCUCGGCUUAACCGAGAGUCGGCAGUGGAAACUAGUAUGCUAGAGGAUGAGAGAGAGAAGUGGAAUUCCCGGAGUAGCGGUAAAAUGCGUAGAUCUCGGGAGGAACACCGAUGGCGAAGGCAGCUUCUUGGCUCAUUCCUGACGUUGAGGCACGAAAGCGUGGGGAGCAAACAGGAUUAGAUACCCUGGUAGUCCACGCUGUAAACGAUAAUCACUAGACGUUAGUCCAGCUUUGCUGGAUUAGUGUCGUAGCUAACGCGUUAAGUGAUUCGCCUGGGGACUACGAUCGCAAGAUUAAAACUCAAAGGAAUUGACGGG